rnacentral:lncRNA from 1 species
CAGAGAUAUGGGUUGAGGCACCGGAAAUAGAGGUGAGAGAGCAAGACAAAACACAACUUACUUAAAACCCAAUAGAUAAGGUGAGCAGAGCCAUAGUGGGAUCCUCUUUCAUGUUGAAAUCAAGGGUUCCCCAACCAGUGGUGCAACAAGACAAGUCAUAACAAAUAUCAAGAUGAAAGCAUCAACAAAAUUCCAUCAUAGGAGUGAGCCAUAUUCAGAUAAACAAUGUAAGAGAAAAGUAAUACGUCAUCACAUGCUCAAACAAUCACCCAAUGCUCAGAAAAUCAGAGAUAACCAUAGAAAAAAAAAAGAUAGAAGAUCAAAGAAAACAGAGUCCUGAGUGGAAAUGAUAAAAAAAACUACAUCAAACGUACCUGGAACUGCCCUCUCAGAUUUCCUUUUCUUCCUUGUUACCCUAGACUCGUCUUCCAAAUGCCUGAGUUCCUUCUUCUCUCAAG